rnacentral:rRNA from 1 species
AUACGAAGGGGGCUAGCGUUGUUCGGAAUUACAGGGCGUAAAGCGCGCGUAGGCGGACUGAUCAGUUGGGGGUGAAAUCCCAGGGCUUAACCCUGGAACUGCCUCCAAUACUGUCAGUCUUGAGUUCGGGAGAGGUGAGUGGAAUUCCUAGUGUAGAGGUGAAAUUCGUAGAUAUUAGGAAGAACACCAGUGGCGAAGGCGGCUCACUGGCCCGAUACUGACGCUGAGGCGCGAAAGCGUGGGGAGCAAACAGGAUUAGAAACCCUAGUAGUCC